rnacentral:SRP_RNA from 1 species
AGCCAGGUCUCGCGCAGCGAGAGGUUACGAACCCCGUCAGGUCCGGAAGGAAGCAGCGGUAAGUAGCUUAUCUCGGGUGCCGCGAGGGCGCCUGGCUUAG